UACGGAGGAUGCGAGCGUUAUCCGGAUUUAUUGGGUUUAAAGGGUGCGCAGGCGGCACGGCAAGCCGGCGGUCAAAUCGCGGGGCUCAACCCCGCCCAGCCGUCGGAACUGCCGGGCUAGAGUGGGCGAGAAGUGUGCGGAAUGCGUGGUGUAGCGGUGAAAUGCAUAGAUAUCACGCAGAACUCCGAUUGCGAAGGCAGCGCACCGGCGCCCUACUGACGCUCAGGCACGAAAGCGUGGGUAUCGAACAGG
rnacentral:rRNA from 1 species